ACUUUUCAUAAUUAUAGUAAACAUAACUACAACCUCGACAUCAACAUUAAGAAACUUUAUCCUAGUAUACCUUAUACAUAUUCGUAGCUACAAUAAUUGUAGUCCAAUCCAUACUUCUCUCCGUAUAUAAAUACCCCAAUAAGAUCUUGGUUUUCACUACAAAAUUUGAAGCUUCAGUUUUCCCAUAUCCAUCAUCAUCCAUGGCUUCCCACACUCAAACUCAGGGCAGUAACCUUAUCUAUUCCACAUCACCGAAGAGUGACGGCGGCAGCGGCGGCAGAAGGGUGGCUUCUUUGUCCAAAGGGCAGCAGUGUUUAUGUUCACCAACAACACAUGAAGGGUCCUUCAGGUGUCGUUUCCAUCGCUUAGCAGGGUCAUCUAAUUCAUCCACUUCACCAUGGAUGAAACGAUCAAAAUCCAUGCCUGCUAAUAAGGCCACACGAUGAUGAUGAUGAUGAUGAUGAUCACAAAAUCUAUAUACUACUAUAUAUAUAUUUAGUGUUUCAUGUGUACCUUUAUGAAUUCUUGUUUGUUACUACUGCUAUUACUUGAAAAUAAGAACCUUGUUUCAGGUAAUAUAGCUCUUUUUUUUGGGCAUAAAUCAUUCACUCUAAGGAUAUUGGCUAAUUUGGAUUUGAGCCUAUUGGGACAUAUCUAGUUCUUAAUUUAGCUAUGUUCGAUUUUUUUUUGUAUAAACAAUAAUAUCUCAUCACUCUAUGAGUAAGAAACUAAUAUUUUUCUGGAUGUGUGACUGUCUCUCCCAUCAAAUCAAUUUUUUCUUGGUUAAUUAGAUGCUUGGGUGGGUCCAUGAUGAAGUUGCUAGCUCUCAAUUUACCUCUCAUAUGUCUAAACAUGUUUUGAUCACAUGUAUAUGUAUAUAUAUCUUGCUCAUUUUAUCAAAUAUAAUCUCUCUAUCUCUCCUAGUUGCAUUUCCAGCAAGUUUUCAUUAAAGAUUUUCUUAUUCUAAGCUAAGUAUUCACAAGUUUUUUAAGAGUUUUAUUUAACAAAUACAAAAUAAGUAGGUUAACACAAAAAGUAAGUCCAUAUUAAAAAUUCAAGUUUAGCAUCUAUCCAUAUGUUAAACACAAAAAAUUUCCACUACAAAUUUACUUGUUUUACUUCCGAAUUUGUUAAGCUUCUUCAUCCUUCUAUGAGUUUAGAUCUUAUAAAUCAUAUAUCAUAAUUCAUAUGCCAAAGGUUGCUUUGCCAGCUUCAUAUUUAGUAACAUGAGCAUCAAACUGCAAAAGUUGAAGUCCUUUCGAGUGAGAUAAUUUUCACUGUCUCACAAAGUGUUCCUCAAGAAUAUGUGACGAAUUUUGAUUAAUCACUAAGCAUCAAUCAUCUUUUAUUAUUUCAUUCAUCUCUCUUCUCAUAAUUAUUUAUUGAAUAUUUAAAUUAAUUAACCAAUCAUGUAUUAAUGCCCAUCUAGUGUCAUGGGUACACAGCCAAAGUUUGUAGCUAUCUAUUAAAAGUUUGUAACUAAACAAAUAAAAUAUAGUACUUUUUAGUUAUUAUAUGCUC
rnacentral:lncRNA from 1 species